AGAGUUUGAUCCUUGCUCAGGACGAACGCUGGCGGCACGCCUAACACAUGCAAGUCGAACGGAGAAAAUGAUUUCGGUUAUUUUCUUAGUGGCGGACGGGUGAGUAGCACGUGAGGAACCUGCCUCUGAGAGUGGGAUAGCUUCUGGAAACGGAUGGUAAUACCGCAUAACAUAGCGAAACCGCAUGAUUUUGCUAUCAAAGUAUUUCGCUCAGAGAUGGCCUCGCGUCUGAUUAGAUAGUUGGUGAGGUAACGGCUCACCAAGUCGGCGAUCAGUAGCCGGACUGAGAGGUUGAACGGCCACAUUGGGACUGAGACACGGCCCAGACUCCUACGGGAGGCAGCAGUGGGGGAUAUUGCACAAUGGGGGAAACCCUGAUGCAGCGAUGCCGCGUGGAGGAAGAAGGUUUUCGGAUUGUAAACUCCUGUCGUAAGGGAAGAGAAAGGACUGUACCUUACAAGAAAGCUCCGGCUAACUACGUGCCAGCAGCCGCGGUAAUACGUAGGGAGCGAGCGUUGUCCGGAAUGACUGGGUGUAAAGGGAGCGUAGGCGGGAUGGUAAGUCAGAUGUGAAACCUGAGGGCUCAACCUUCAGACUGCAUUUGAAACUGCUGUUCUUGAGUGAAGUAGAGGUAAGCGGAAUUCCUGGUGUAGCGGUGAAAUGCGUAGAGAUCAGGAGGAACAUCGGUGGCGAAGGCGGCUUACUGGGCUUUUACUGACGCUGAGGCUCGAAAGCGUGGGGAGCAAACA
rnacentral:rRNA from 1 species